CCUACGGGCGGCUGCAGUGGGGAAUAUUGGACAAUGGGGGGAACCCUGAUCCAGCCAUGCCGCGUGUGUGAAGAAGGCCCUCGGGUUGUAAAGCACUUUCAGUGAGGAAGAACGCCUGGUGGUUAAUACCCAUCAGGAAAGACAUCACUCACAGAAGAAGCACCGGCUAACUCCGUGCCAGCAGCCGCGGUAAUACGGAGGGUGCGAGCGUUAAUCGGAAUUACUGGGCGUAAAGCGCGCGUAGGUGGCUUGAUAAGCCGGUUGUGAAAGCCCCGGGCUCAACCUGGGAACGGCAUCCGGAACUGUCAAGCUAGAGUGCAGGAGAGGAAGGUAGAAUUCCCGGUGUAGCGGUGAAAUGCGUAGAGAUUGGGAGGAAUACCAGUGGCGAAGGCGGCCUUCUGGACUGACACUGACACUGAGGUGCGAAAGCGUGGGUAGCAAACAGGAUUAGAUACCCUGGUAGUC
rnacentral:rRNA from 1 species